CUACGGGUUGCACCAGUGGGGAAUAUUGCACAAUGGGCGCAAGCCUGAUGCAGCAACGCCGCGUGAGGGAUGAAGGCCUUCGGGUUGUAAACCUCUUUUAGCAGGGAAGAAGCGAAAGUGACGGUACCUGCAGAAAAAGCACCGGCUAACUACGUGCCAGCAGCCGCGGUAAUACGUAGGGUGCAAGCGUUGUCCGGAAUUAUUGGGCGUAAAGAGCUCGUAGGCGGUUUGUCACGUCUGCUGUGAAAAUCCAAGGCUCAACCUUGGACUUGCAGUGGGUACGGGCAGGCUAGAGUGCGGUGGGGGAGAUGGGAAUCCCUGGUGUAGCGGUGGAAUGCGCAGAUAUCAGGAGGAACACCAAUGGCGAAGGCACAUCUCUGGGCCGUAACUGACGCUGAGGAGCGAAAGCGUGGGGAGCGAACAGGAUUAGAUACCCGAGUAGUC
rnacentral:rRNA from 1 species